AGAGAUUCUAGCCAAGGCAUAAGAUAGAGAGGAAUGGAGAAAGAUGGUCGACAGAUCAUGUGUGGUAUCCCAGUCUAGGGCACGUGUACUGCUUGGUCUCUUUAAUUAUUAAUUUCUGUACUGCUUCUCUUAGUUCAGCACAAAACCAAAACAUGAAAUGAAUAUGUUCAGAGGAAAUACAUUUCAUGUGUUCGUGUCUGUGUGUGUGUUUAUGCGCAUGUGUAUGAAGCUCCUAUACGAUCAAAUGUUUCAAUUCAAGUCACUAUGUUGUCACGUGUAUCUUGGGUCGUGUUUUUCUAUUAUCAAGUGCUAUAGCUUCAGAUUUGAGUAUAGGCCUAUGAGUUUCACUUGCGUGGCUAGUAUUUAGUAACCGUCACGCUCUAUUAGUUCACAUAGCACUUAACUCAAUGUUUCUCAUACUGUAUUUGGGGACCUCAAGAAUCGGCAUGACGAAAGGAUUUCCGUACAACAUGAAAACUGUAUACAAUUUAAAAUGAAUUCUUUUCUAGAAGCAAGUUUAUCCAAUAGGAUAAUUUCAGCAACAAUCGACUCGCCCCUCACUACUUGAUAUAUAUCUCUCUAUAUAUAUAUAUUA